rnacentral:rRNA from 1 species
GAUGAACGCUGGCGGCGUGCCUAAUACAUGCAAGUCGAGCGAACAGACGAGGAGCUUGCUCCUCUGACGUUAGCGGCGGACGGGUGAGUAACACGUGGAUAACCUACCUAUAAGACUGGGAUAACUUCGGAAAACCGGAGCUAAUACCGGAUAAUAUAUUGAACCGCAUGGUUCAAUAGUGAAAGACGGUUUUGCUGUCACUUAUAGAUGGAUCCGCGCCGCAUUAGCUAGUUGGUAAGGUAACGGCUUACCAAGGCAACGAUGCGUAGCCGACCUGAGAGGGUGAUCGGCCACACUGGAACUGAGACACGGUCCAGACUCCUACGGGAGGCAGCAGUAGGGAAUCUUCCGCAAUGGGCGAAAGCUUGACGGAGCAACGCCGCGUGAGUGAUGAAGGUCUUCGGAUCGUAAAACUCUGUUAUUAGGGAAGAACAAAUGUGUAAGUAACUAUGCACGUCCUGACGGUACCUAAUCAGAAAGCCACGGCUAACUACGUG